rnacentral:lncRNA from 1 species
GGAAAUUUACCUGGACUUAAGGUGAAAAGGACAAGCAAGGACAGUAAGACUGGAGCACCUGUGGCAGCUGGAUUAGUUCCUGAAUUUCUCAACUGCUGCUCUGUUUCCUACCUCCACAGAAUUUCUGCUACAACAGCUCUUAUAAACAUUGCUGCUAAAACUUAAAACUUGUAGUUAGGUGCCUGCAUUUUGAUGCACGAAAUGCUUUUAGCUGUAUCUGAGUAUUUAAAAAUGAU